rnacentral:rRNA from 1 species
UACGUAGGGUGCAAGCGUUGUCCGGAAUUAUUGGGCGUAAAGAGCUCGUAGGCGGUUUUGUUGCGUCGGCUGUGAAAUCCCGAGGCUCAACCUCGGGUCUGCAGUCGAUACGAGCAAACUAGAGUGUUGCAGGGGAGACUGGAAUUCCUGGUGUAGCGGUGGAAUGCGCAGAUAUCAGGAGGAACACCGAUAGCGAAGGCAGCUCGCUGGGACGGUACUGACGCUGAGGCGCGAAAGCGUGGGGAGCAAACGGG